rnacentral:rRNA from 1 species
CCACCACCAAAGCAUUCUCUGGUGUUGAAGGCCCUGCAAAGCAGCAUCGCGGUGGCGGAGCGUCGUUUGCGACGCCCAACACACAAAACAAGCGGUGAGUGCUUUGGGGUGGGGUGACUGCGUACCUUUUGUAUAAUGGGUCAGCGACUUAUAUUCUGUAGCAAGGUUAACCGUAUAGGGGAGCCGUAGGGAAACCGAGUCUUAACCGGGCGUUAAGUUGCAGGGUAUAGACCCGAAACCCGGUGAUCUAGCCAUGGGCAGGUUGAAGGUUGGGUAACACUAACUGGAGGACCGAACCGACUAAUGUUGAAAAAUUAGCGGAUGACCUGUGGCUGGGGGUGAAAGGCCAAUCAAACCGGGAGAUAGCUGGUUCUCCCCGAAAGCUAUUUAGGUAGCGCCUCGUGAAUUCAUCUCCGGGGGUAGAGCACUGUUUCGGCUAGGGGGCCAUCCCGGCUUACCAACCCGAUGCAAACUGCGAAUACCGGAGAAUGUUAUCACGGGAGACACACGGCGGGUGCUAACGUCCGUCGUGAAGAGGGAAACAACCCAGACCGCCAGCUAAGGUCCCAAAGUCAUGGUUAAGUGGGAAACGAUGUGGGAAGGCCCAGACAGCCAGGAUGUUGGCUUAGAAGCAGCCAUCAUUUAAAGAAAGCGUAAUAGCUCACUGGUCGAGUCGGCCUGCGCGGAAGAUGUAACGGGGCUAAACCAU